AUUGAACGCUGGCGGCAGGCCUAACACAUGCAAGUCGAGCGGAUGAAGGGAGCUUGCUCCUGGAUUCAGCGGCGGACGGGUGAGUAAUGCCUAGGAAUCUGCCUGGUAGUGGGGGAUAACGUCCGGAAACGGGCGCUAAUACCGCAUACGUCCUGAGGUAGAAAGUGGGGGAUCUUCGGACCUCACGCUAUCAGAUGAGCCUAGGUCGGAUUAGCUAGUUGGUGGGGUAAAGGCGUACCAAGGCGACGAUCCGUAACUGGUCUGAGAGGAUGAUCAGUCACACUGGAACUGAGACACGGUCCAGACUCCUACGGGAGGCAGCAGUGGGGAAUAUUGGACAAUGGGCGAAAGCCUGAUCCAGCCAUGCCGCGUGUGUGAAGAAGGUCUUCGGAUUGUAAAGCACUUUAAGUUGGGAGGAAGGGAAGUAAGUUAAUACAUUGCUGUUUUGACGUUACCAACAGAAUAAGCACCGGCUAACUUCGUG
rnacentral:rRNA from 1 species